UACGUAGGGUGCGAGCGUUAAUCGGAAUUACUGGGCGUAAAGCGUGCGCAGGCGGUUAUGUAAGACAGAUGUGAAAUCCCCGGGCUCAACCUGGGAACUGCGUCCGAUACUGGAAGGCUUGAAUCCGGGAGAGGGAUGCGGAAUUCCAGGUGUAGCGGUGAAAUGCGUAGAUAUCUGGAGGAACACCGGUGGCGAAGGCGGCAUCCUGGACCGGCAUUGACGCUGAGGCGCGAAAGCCAGGGGAGCAAACGGG
rnacentral:rRNA from 1 species